GUGUCAGCCGCCGCGGUAAUACGUAGGUGGCCAGCGUUGUCCGGAAUUAUUGGGCGUAAAGGGCUCGCAGGCGGUUCCUUAAGUCUGAUGUGAAGGCCCCCGGCUCAACCGGGGAGGGUCAUUGGAAACUGGGGAACUUGAGUGCAGAAGAGGAGAGUGGAAUUCCACGUGUAGCGGUGAAAUGCGUAGAGAUGUGGAGGAACACCAGUGGCGAAGGCGACUCUCUGGUCUGUAACUGACGCUGAGGAGCGAAAGCGUGGGGAGCGAACAGG
rnacentral:rRNA from 1 species